GGGCACAUGGUGUAGUUGGUUAUCACGCCCGCUUAGCAUGGUUGCAUUGCGUUUUCGCCCUGCGGGCGGUCCCCGGUUCAAUUCCGGGUGUGUCCA